GUGCUUGCUCAGGCAGCACAUACUGUAUGACAGAUUGGAAUCAGAGAGAUUAGCAUGGCCCCCGCGAAAGGAUGACACGCAUAUCUGUGAAGCGUUUCCACAUUUUU